UCAAGCAUUCGAUUCUGCAUGAAAUUUCAGUCAGUUUGAAAGUGAAUGAAUGAGGGAGGCGUUGAAUCUGAAUGUCGGUUUCGGUAAAUGCAAGCAGAAAUAGGUAACUGAUUUUGAAAUUUCCUGGCUCUGAUUACUGCCUUGGCUCCUACCAGUUGCUUGCAUGAAAAUAUCGCUGCCUCCACAGUGCUCGUGAUUCCAUCCCAGUAGCAGCUAGCAACCACAAUUCCAGUGCUUAUCGCCAGCAACAUCAGAAAAUUAAGAUUUCCCCUAGACCAUGACCAUCAUCCGACAGAUCGCAACAACGCAACAAGCAACAACGUUCAACUGACGGUAGAACCUGGCCAGCAACCGCAACUAGUGCAAUCGAUCCAAGCCAAUCAGGGCCAAAUGUAGAAGACCAUUGGUCAACCGCAAAAAAAAGAUACAUCAACAGCACCUUCAAACACAGUAGCAGCAGCAUACUGUACUGUACCACGCCGCGUGCAGGAGGACUUUUUUUAUUCAGUUGGUGCAGCAAGAUCGAACAGCAACCAUAGCGGAUACACAUCACCGAACACCAACAACAUAAUGCCAUGGUAACCACCCAGCAGCAGAACACGGUGAUAAUGGGCCAACAGUAAAUACAACAUCAAGAUCCUCGGAAAGGACUUUUUCUUUCGAACAAACAUAAUGGAAGCAUACUCUACACGCGUGACAUAUUCAAUCGGGCCAACCGUGUGACUCGUUUGGAAAAAAGCGCUCAUCAUCGGUUUCAUGGCAGCGAAGUGAGCAGACAAAAGAAGGCGUUUUUUUCCGCAAGGUCGCUCUGGGCAAAAGUUCAGCCAAUUGCAAGGAAUAAACCACCGGAGUGACAGUAUCCGUGCUGUUUGGGACCUUUUUCCAUAUAUUGUAGCUUUUGAAUUUUAAUACCCGGUCGAAACGAUGGCAAGUGCUGCCGAUAACUGGGUCAAAAAGGCGGAGGGAGGAUCAGGAAAUUUCUGCACUCGGUUAUCGAUCUGAGUAUCCCUAAGGAUAAGGAACCAGAGCCGGCGGCUGACAGCCCAAAGAAAGAGAAUGCGGAAAAACCUUCUAGUUCACCGCCAGUAGAACCAGCGAUCAAAUUACUCCCGUAGAAACGGCUGCACCUGCAGUUUUGUUUUCGGUAGCUACAGAAAUUAAGACUUUAGCAGCUCCUGAAGAAAAAAAAGCUGCUAGCGAAAAUGGAGAAACAGCUUCCUCCACGGAAGAUUCAGAGGCAUUC